GAUAAACGCUGGCGGCGUGCUUCAGGCAUGCAAGUCGAACGAGUGUCCACCUUCGGGUGGUCUACUAGUGGCGGACGGGUGAGUAACGCGUUAGCAACCUGCCCAAAAGUGGGGAAUAACUAACCGAAAGGUUAGCUAAUACCGCAUGUGAUAGCUGGUUCUUGGACCGGUUAUGAAAGGCUUCGGUCGCUUUUGGAGGGGCUUGCGUCAGAUUAGCUUGUUGGUGGGGUAAUGGCCUACCAAGGCGACGAUCUGUAGCUGGUCUGAGAGGACGAUCAGCCACACGGGGACUGAGAUACGGCCCCGACUCCUACGGGAGGCUG
rnacentral:rRNA from 1 species